GUAUACAUAUAUAUACGUUUAUAUAUUUAUUUAUCGACGGCGCGUGGCGUUUUAUCGAUUUUCUCGCCCGUCUCCCCAAGCCCGCGGGUAUAUAAUAUUAUAUAGAGAGACUUUGGUUUUUUUCCCCUUUUUUUUUUUUUUUUCCUUUCUUUUUUUGGCUCGACGAUUUUUACGACGACGACGUUACAAAGUUAUUCUGGUGCAGCUCUAUUCGGCUAAAAGUGGGUGGCGGACGGAGACGUUUUGAUUAAUGCGCUUCCAUCGCCGCCGACUCUGUACGGUAUUAUUGUCGUAUAUAAGUACGAAACGCGCGCG